UACGUAGGGUGCGAGCGUUAAUCGGAAUUACUGGGCGUAAAGCGGGCGCAGGCGGAUGUUUAAGUCAGAUGUGAAAUCCCCGGGCUCAACCUGGGAAUGGCAUUUGAAACUGGGCAUCUAGAGUGCGUCAGAGGGGGGUGGAAUUCCACGUGUAGCAGUGAAAUGCGUAGAGAUGUGGAGGAACACCGAUGGCGAAGGCAGCCCCCUGGGAUGACACUGACGCUCAUGCACGAAAACGUGGGGAGCAAACAAGAUUAGAUGCCCUGGUAGUCCACGCCCUAAACUAUGUCAACUAGUUGUUGGGUACGUAAGUUCUUAGUGACGAAGCUGACACGUGAAGUUGACCGCCUGGGGAGUACGGCCGCAAGGUUG
rnacentral:rRNA from 1 species